CGGACGGGUGAGUAAUGCCUAGGAAUCUGCCUGGUAGUAGGGGACAACGUUUCGAAAGGAACGCUAAUACCGCAUACGUCCUACGGGAGAAAGCAGGGGACCUUCGGGCCUUGCGCUAUCAGAUGAGCCUAGGUCGGAUUAGCUAGUUGGUGAGGUAAUGGCUCACCAAGGCGACGAUCCGUAACUGGUCUGAGAGGAUGAUCAGUCACACUGGAACUGAGACACGGUCCAGACUCCUACGGGAGGCAGCAGUA
rnacentral:rRNA from 1 species